CUCAGUCUUGCGGUCCUGAAGCUCCUCAAGCUCCUCUGAGCGCAGUCUUCUGACGCUCCUCUGUCUGGAUAUUUGUAGCAGGUUUUCCAUUUUUCUCCUCUGGAUUAUAUUCUUCUGAUGGUUUUCAACUCCAACUCGAUGCAUAGAAAUGGGUAAACUGCACUCGAAACAUGCCGCUAUUUGUAAACCGAGGGAGAGCCCAGAAGGCGACAGUUUUGUAGUCAAUGCCUGUUUGGCAAGAAAGGGAAUCGACGACUGGCUCGUGAAGCAGAAAUACUACUGCACGAGCUCUCGCCUCGAGCCGCGGGACUGUCACCACAAGAAUAACUGCGGUCUGACUG